rnacentral:misc_RNA from 1 species
GUGAAUCAUCAAAUCUUUGAACGCAAAUUGCACUCUCUUCGGAGAGUAUGCCUGUUUGAGGGUCAGCCUAAAAAAAAAUCGACAUAGUCGCUGUGUCGCGGUGACAUUCGUCGGAAAUUGGUUAUCUUUAACCUUUUGGUUUUAAGCGGCUUAAAAUUUUCUUUACGAUUCCACGAACUUUUUUUAGGUUUUCCUCUUAUACGUUU